AACUUUCGGAAGGACAUUAC
rnacentral:rRNA from 2 species